rnacentral:rRNA from 1 species
GACGGGGGGUCCUAGCGUUGUUCGGAAUUAUUGGGCGUAAAGCGUGUGCAGGUUGUUUAAAAAGUUAGAUGUGAAAUCCUUGGGCUCAACCCAAGACGUGCAUUUAAAACUGUUAGACUUGAGUAUGGAAGAGGGUCGUGGAAUUCCAGGUGUAGUGGUGAAAUACGUAGAUAUCUGGAGGAACACCGGUGGCGAAGGCGGUUGCCUGGGGCUUUGCUGACGCUGAGGAGCGAAAGCGUGGGGAGCGAACAGG